GAUGAACGCUGGCGGCGUGCCUAAUACAUGCAAGUCGGGCGAACAGACGAGGAGCUUGCUCCUCUGACGUUAGCGGCGGACGGGUGAGUAACACGUGGAUAACCUACCUAUAAGACUGGGAUAACUUCGGGAAACCGGAGCUAAUACCGGAUAAUAUAUUGAACCGCAUGGUUCAAUAGUGAAAGACGGUUUUGCUGUCACUUAUAGAUGGAUCCGCGCCGCAUUAGCUAGUUGGUAAGGUAACGGCUUACCAAGGCAACGAUGCGUAGCCGACCUGAGAGGGUGAUCGGCCACACUGGAACUGAGACACGGUCCAGACUCCUACGGGAGGCAGCAGUAGGGAAUCUUCCGCAAUGGGCGAAAGCCUGACGGAGCAACGCCGCGUGAAUGAUGAAGGUCUUCGGAUCGUAAAACUCUGUUAUUAGGGAAGAACAAAUGUGUAAGUAACUAUGCACGUCUUGACGGUACCUAAUCAGAAAGCCACGGCUAACUACGUG
rnacentral:rRNA from 1 species